rnacentral:lncRNA from 1 species
AAAAAACAAUAAGUAUUCUCUGCAGUUUCUUGGUUUUCUAUUUUAAGGCACUGUAUAUCUUUUGUGAAAUGUGAUGUUUUGUGAACUUGCGUUGGAUGUAGCUUUUUGAAAAGGCCAAGGAGAAAUUCUAAACUCCUUUUUGUGAUAUAUUCUUGUUCCCAUCAAUGACCUCUUCAUUGAGGAAAGAGAGAGGAAGGAAGAAAGAAAAUGAGGUUUUCUCUGAUGACAAGUCAAUUUAAGAGAACCCUCUGAUCAAUGACUAUGCCUGGCAAAAGCGAGAGGUUUCUGGUUUCUUUUAAGGGAAAAAAUGCCAACACAUCCUUGAUGGCUUGUAGUCUUUGAACAUGGGGAUACAUGUUCUUAAUAAGGCAUAGGAAAGUUAAGCUUGAUUUUGCAUAAGGUCUUCGUUUGUGGAGCAUAAAACAUUCCUGGUUAAGUUAACGGCCAGGAGAGAGGAAGUGAAGCUCAAAAGUUAUAUUUUAAAAAUUCAUUAGAAAAGAUGUAAUAAUGAACAUUAUCUUACUAGACAAAAGUUGACUUCAAUUAACAGCUAACCAUUUUAAAAACUCAUGACAUUCUUUACUGUGUAUUGUUUAUGUCAUAGUUGAACCAAUGGGAGAACUAAUAUUGAAAACGAUGCUAACGUAUAAGAUUUAUAAAUUUGUUCCUUCUCCUGAGGUUAGACGCCCACAACAUGAAGGCUAUUUGAAUAUGAGUUGCUUGUAACACAAAACACUAAGAAAAAGAAUGUAUUUUUUUUAAUUCUAUUUCAUUCAGGAAGCCAAAUUUUCUGUUAGACGCAGCAUAGUGAGUGGUGUGCAAGCAUUUCAAGUGGGGACUGUCAUGUCUCUAUCAGUGACAACUGCUUGUGGAACUGAAAUUGUUUACUCUGAGAAAUCUGACUACAUGAGUGAUUUCCUGCCUCCCUUAUCUAGCAUUCACUGAGCUUCUGUUUUCCUUUGUUCACAGCGUUUUACUAAUCAGCUAAAUGAAUAAGAGUAAUAAUUUGCUUUAAUAUAGUACUUCUCAUCAAAGUAUUUUAAAGUGCUUUUGAGAAGAAUUAAAGUGUUACAGGGUCCGCUGAUCCAUGUGCUCUGUUGUUAUUCACAUUGCAAAGUGAAGAUAUAAAGAGCUUAAGUGGCUCUUCCCAGAUCUAAGGAAAAAUCAGUCAAAGAUUCAUGAAUUAAUUGUAGGAAUCCUGGCUCCUAGUUCAUUGAUCCAAAGCUGGACCUCAUAUUUAUUAGAUAGACAUAUUUGUCUUUACAGGCUACCCAGAAGCAUGCAUUUCUUACAGCUCUAUCUCAGCUUAGUAAUGAAUAAUGAAAAAGAAUUACCAGGAUAGGGCAGGGUUGAAGUGCUAGAUUUGUAACAAGUUUCACAAUUUUUUUUCAAAUACGAUAUCCUUGGGGGAAAAAAACAAACAAGAUCUUUUGUGUCUAUAUCACUUUUUCUCAGUUUAUUUGUGUAUAAUCUGCUUUGUUUAUAACAGAAUUUGUCUGUCAGUGCACAAAAGGGCCAUCAUUUUUUUCCUGUCUAAAAUUUUAUAUUUAGAUUAAAAAAUUAGAUGAAUAAGUAAUGAACUGUUCUGUUGCUAAAAAGGAAAAAAUGGUAUUUUUUAUUUUAUUGUUUUGCCAUUGUUGCAUUUAAGAAUAAAAUUAAGAGUUCACCUAUGAACAAUUCCCUUGGAAGGGAAUAGUUGCUAAGUUGCUAAGGGCCUCCUAUAAAUAUACGUGGAUUUCCAUAUAGACACACACAAACGUACAUGCAUAGAUUUUUCAUUGGUUGCCUUAUGUCAAAAUGGCUUCUUGGACUAUUCUAGUCAACUCAGAUACUGUAGGUGAAUAUCAAUCUUUACUUAAAGAUGAAUGCAUCACCUUGUACAAUAUAUUUUAUUGAAACUAGAAAAGUUUGGAAAAUAUAAGACACUUGCACUUUUCUGAGAGUAAUCUGAGUGUCAAGCCUAAGUAAUAUCUCAUGCUGUGCUAAACAUCUGUUCAGAAUGUACACUUCUGUAAGUGUAAAUGUAAAUGUUGAAAACUCAGAGGCCAUGAUUCAGCAGUUGUGCUCCUUAAUGUCUACCCAAAGGACCUGAAAGCUAUGUCCACGUAAAAACCUGCAGGCAGAGGUGUAUAGCAGCUUUAUUCAUAAUUGCCCAAACUGAGAAGUAAUCAAGAUGUUUUUUAGUAGGUGACUGGAUAAAUAAAGUGUGCUGCCUCCAGACAGUGGAAUAUUAUUCAGCUUUAACAACAUGAUCUAAGCUGUGAAAAGAAAGGGAGGAAACUUAAAUGCAUAUGACUAAGGGAAAGAAGCUAAUCUGAAAAGGCUGCAUACUGCAUGAUUCCAACUAUACGACACUGUGGAAAAGAUGAAACUAUGGAGACAAUGACAAAAAACAGUGAUUACUAAGGGUCGGGGUGAGGGGAGAUGAAUAGGUGAGCUCAGAGGGUUUUUAGACAGGGGGUUAUGCAUAUGUAGGAGCUUGGAUCAGAUGGGACAUCCAUGGUAUAAUCUCAAUGGUGGUGUAAACUCAAACUGAUCUAAGUAGUAGUCUUAAAAAACCUCACAAAAUUGAAAGGCCCAGGUGGUGCUUUUAUAUUUUUAAUAUUGUUUAUAUGGAGCAUCCAAUAUAAAAUCCCAGACUGCCUGAGGUGUGUCUCAGUGUACCUCCUCAGGGAUAUUUUUUUCCCCUCCUCUGAUGAAGUCUGUUCCAAAUAUUCAUGUUUCUAAAAUAGGCCUGAGAGGAGAAGAAUCUUCCUCUGAAGCAACUGUACUCAAUAGCUCAAUUAUUUAAUAAAUCACUUGUACUUAUUUCUAAACAAUAGGGGGUUUGGGGAUUUGGUAGGAAUACCUAGAUUCUGCAUGAGUUUUUUGAGGCCUUUUCUCAAGCAUUGAUAAGGCAUUUAAACAAGCAAAGACAUACACAUAAAACUUACUAGGACAUGUGUGAAACUAUUUAAUUCAUUCAGAAAUAUUUAUUUGGUAUCUAGAGUGUGUCUGAUGCCAUUCUAGGAUAUUAGAGUGAAUGACAGGCAUGCCUAUUAGUAUGCAUGUAGUUUGGAGGAAGGGGGAGAUGGGUAUAAUAAAAGCUCCUCUUCAUUUUCAGCAGUAAGCAGUGAAAUGAAGGCAGUGUGUGGGGUGCUGUGAUUGUAUGUGACAAGGACAUCUAAGCUAAUGCGGAGAAAUAUGGACAUCUUCACUGAGAAUGCCACAUUUUAGGCUGAGAUCAGAGAGGUGACUAGGAGUUUGAAGGUCCUUGUGGAAAGAAGGAAAAAAACACUGUGCUUCAUGAGUUUAAAGAAGGCCAAAGCACAAGGAUGUUAUUAACCUGGAGGGGGAGAAGAGUGGAUGAGGCAGAGAGGAAGGGAAUAAGGAGUCAGACCAUGCAACGCCUUCCUAAAUUUGCAGUGCACUUUAGUCUUUCUGAAAAAAGAUCAAUAGGAAACAAGUGAAAAGUGAUCAGAUUCCAGGUUUUUAAAAUAUGACUCUGGCUUCUCUUGGAAGAUGGAUUAGAAGGACUAAGAAUGGGUGUGGGGAGACAUUUCAGAGAUGAUAAGUGGUCCAGGAAAGAGAUGGUGGUGGCUUGCUUUAGAUUGCUAGUGACAUGGCUUCUGGGCUAACACCUAUCUUUCAUGUUUUCAGUAUCAGUUUCCAGAAUAAAGUAAAAUACUUCUGUCUUAUAGCAAAUGAACUUUCUUGAAGAGAUCUGAAUAGAAAGCCCAUAUAUAUAUUAGCCAGUUGUGUAGUCAGUGUGUAUUGAUUGUGGGUUGUAGAGUGUUCUGCCUGUCUGCAUGUUUUUAUAAUGGCACAGAUAGUGCCUGAAGAUUCAUGAACUGAUUUUCCAAGGAGUCAGAUAGUGACCUUAUACCCUAAAGAGGAAGAUGAUAUUAACAUAUCAUCAUGACCUGUGAACAUUUUCAGGAAGAUGAAUCUUUCAAAGCUUUUUAAAUUAAACAAUAUAUUCCUUUUGUAUUGUUAAUGCUGGGAAGAAACCUUUGACUUUAAACCUAGAAAGUGCAUUUACAGGUAAACUUUAAAAAAAAAGUCUUUUAUUUCACACCUUAAAGUGUAUAUAAAUAUAAAGUAAUAUGCUUUCAAUUUUAUUUUAGUUAUUUAAUAUGACAAUAUAAUUUCAUCUAGAGUAUUAUUUAGCAAUGUAAUAGAAUGUCUCUCAAAUAAAAAUGGCAUUCUAUUUUUAUGAGAAAUUGCAUUUCAAACAAAUUUGAGAUUGUUGCGCAUAUCUCACUCUUAGUUUACCAACCACCAUUACAAUUGAUUAGAGAACAGUUUGACUGUGGCAACAAUAUGAAUCAGCUUAACACUUUUCCUCCCCUUCAUUCAUCUUGGAAUGAGAUAAUGAGGCAAGACUAUGCUAGUAGAGAUAUCACUUUUAGCCGAAUAAUUCAUCUGUGAAUAGCCCCAGAUUGCAAAAAUUAUAGCCUCAUUUAAGCAUUAUUUAUGGUUAGAGUGAGGUUAAAACUUUGGCAAUAUUUCACAGUGCAUGGAGAAAAACUAUUCAUGACAGUGUAUUUACACAUUUUAUAGAAAUGGAUCAAGAUGAUUCAUUUUUAUAAAGCUAAUUGAACCCAUUGAAUAACAUUACUAAAUUAGUCUUUAGGUCAAUGAAUAUUAUUUUUUCAAUUAGGUGAACAUUAUCUGUUAAAUAAUCUAUAAAACUAUAUAACCCAUCUCCUACCUGUUAAUGGAGUGUUCCAAUGUAGCCCUGACACCUAUAUUCUAUUUUAAAAUGUAAAUAUAGACAAUUACUAUACAGCAUAAAUAAAUUUUAAAAUGCCAUCUAUCUUCCCAGUUUCAAAUGUCAUCCUAUCUGUGGGUCAUUUUCAUGCAAAUAAUCUGCUGUACUUGGUAGUAAUUACAUAUAACAUAGGACAACUAUAGAGGUUAAAAAAAGUGCUUAGUCACACAUGAAAGAUACAGAAUUAGAUACAUGAAAUGUUAUGCCUGUAAAUUAAAAGAAAACAAAUGCACAGACUCCUGUAAGUUUGAAUUAAAUAGUGACAUUUACAGAAAAAUUCCUAAAAUGCCUUCUUUCAUUCAUCUAUCUCCCUAGAGUCCUAUUCAUCACAGUAUGAUAGCUGCCCUUGGUCAUUCUUUCUCCUUUCACUGAUUAAAACAAAAAGGAAACUAAACAUGCUCACAAAACAACUAUGAUGAUGUAUCAUCCACUGAAGAAAAUAGACAAAUAAACCAUAAACAAACAACAAAUAAAUGUUCUGCUGUGUAAGACUUAGAAUAAUGACAUCUUGGGGAUCAUUUGUUUGUAAGGAAAAGAAACUAAUCAAAUGAAUUUAAGAAGAAAAAUGUUUGUUCCUACCUAUUGAUAGCCUUGGAAUUACAUCUUAAGAGUUUGGACUUUAAUCUGAAGGCUAAAAUCGUCAAUGUAUAUUAUAAGCAGGAGAAGGAUGGUAUAAGUAGUGUUUCAGUUGUUUCUAAAUCUAAUAAAUGGCUGUAAUUUGUUUUAAAAUAAUAGAAAAAAAUGUAAAAGGAGGAGUUAUUCCUGUGGCUUGGCACGUUAAGAACCCAACAUAGUAUCCAUGAGGAUGUGGAUUUGAUCUCUGGCCUUGCUCAGUGGGUUAAGCAUCCAACCUUGCCACAAGCUGUAGUGUACUUUGCAGACGCAGCUCAGAUCUGGCAUUGCUGUGGCUGUGGUGUAGACUGGCAGCUGCAGCUCCAAUUCGACUGCUAGCCCAGGAACUUCCAUAUGCCACAGGUGCAGCCUUAAAAAGCAAAGAAAAAAAAAAAGGGAAGAGAAAAAAAUCCUGUUGUUAGCCACUGUCUACCUCAUUGCUCUGAGACCCAGAAUAGGUUUAAGGAAAACUGGGAAAAUAGAAUAUAUACCAUGCAUUGUCAUAUGGUAAUGAUUUCCCUAGAAAUUCUUUUGGAUCCUUAAGUGCUGAUAUUGUCCCUGGUCCUCACUCUCAGACCAUCACUUGAGUGUGUUUAUAUAUGUGUUUAUAUGUGUAUAUAAAGAUACAUAUCUUAUAAUAAACUUCAUAUUAUGAGGUUUAUAUAUUUUAAAAUUCUUUUUAGGGCCACACCUGUGGUAUAUGGACGUUCCCAGGCUAGGAGUGGAAUCAGGGCUACAGCUGCUGGUCUACACCAUAGCCACAGCAAUGUCAGAUCCUAACCAACCAACCACGUCUGCAAACUACACCACAGCCACAGCAAUGCUAGAUCUGAACCACAUUUGCAAACUACAACACAGCUUGCAGCAAUGCUAAAUCCUUAACCCACUGAGCAAGGCCAGGGAUCAAACCCACAUCCUCAUGGACUCAUGUCAGGUUCUUAACC